rnacentral:rRNA from 1 species
UCCGUAGGAGGGUAAUUAAGUCAGAGGUGAAAUCCCACAGCUUAACUGUGGAACUGCCUUAGAUACUGGUUAUCUUGAGUUUUAGUGAAGUAGAUAGAAUGUGUAGUGUAGCGGUGAAAUGCAUAGAUAUUACACAGAAUACCGAUUGCGAAGGCAGUCUACUAACUAACAACUGACGCUAAUGGACGAAAGCGUGGGGAGCGAACAGGAUUAGAUACCCUGGUAGUCC